AAAGCUCCAGACGGCAGCAGCGCUCCCGGCAGCGCUGCCAGUGCGUGCUCCCGAAUUUUACUGAGUUCGAUGGGUAGAACGAAAACUCCAUAGAAAACGGGACGGAAAGCAGCCAACCCUCCGCUCUGGAAUCUGCCAGUUCCACAACCAAAGGACAAAGCGAGCAGCAGACCUUUCCUCAGCCUCCCCCCCGACAUCACUCACUACUUCAUCUCGAGGUCCCCGCAUAGCAGCCCCGGACGCAAGAUCUCCAGCAAAGCCCCAACGCGGCUCCAUCCGCGGGCAGCGGGAGCACGGUUUGGCCCUGCUCACUGUCCCCAGCCCCAGGAGGAGGCGACGGCUCCGUUGCCUUAUUCUCGCCCAGCCUGCAGCCCUAACCGUGCACUCACCAUGUAG